rnacentral:rRNA from 1 species
UACGUAGGGGGCAAGCGUUGUCCGGAAUCAUUGGGCGUAAAGCGCGUGUAGGCGGCCCGGUAAGUCCGCUGUGAAAGUCGGGGGCUCAACCCUCGAAUGCCGGUGGAUACUGUCGGGCUAGAGUGCGGGAGAGGCGAGUGGAAUUCCUGGUGUAGCGGUGAAAUGCGCAGAUAUCAGGAGGAACACCGAUGGCGAAGGCAGGUCUCUGGGCCGAUACUGACGCUGAGGAGCGAAAGCGUGGGGAGCGAACAGG